UCUUUAUUACUCUAUACUCUGCCUGGAGUACUUGAUAGAGGAGGUGAAUGCCUGAAUGGAGUACGUACGUGCCAUUCACGGUAGGUGGUGGUACUGCUGAAGUAACUGGCGUACUCCUACUGUACUGGGAGGCAGUCUUGCUUGCACACAUGAAGGAACUGAGCGCCGACUACACGCCGGAGUGGCAUCUGCGGAUAGAGCG
rnacentral:lncRNA from 1 species